CAGCUCAUUUGUUUUGUUUGAGUAAGGAGGCCUGAUUUAUCAGUACAGAAAAAGUAUUCAUGCACUGUGCUGAAUUGUAUGAAUUUGUAUGAAACUGUAUGAAUAUGUAUGAAGUUUCUGUGUCCUGGACUAGCUUGACUUUGCUAUUCUUCCGCUCCCAGCAUUUUUUAAAAUGCAAUUAUAGAAUUUCAUGUAAUUUUAAUGCAAAUAUAGAAAAUUGUACAAAUUUGUGGCAAUGUUUUCUAUUGAUUUCUCCAUUGAAGUUAGUGUAAUAGUUUGUGAUAUAGUUUGUGAUAUAGGAAAGCAUUGAUCACAGAUUAGACUGUAAUUAGAGUCUCUUUUUUUGUUUCUUUUUAUUUUUUCUGAGUUGCUGGAUCUACUAAAUACUAUACCUUGAUAUAGAAAUAAGACUUGUAUUUUAAUCUAAUACACUUACUAACUUUUAGUCAAUUUUUCUAAAUUCUUACUAAAUUAUUUCUAAAUUAAAUUAUGAAAAUAUUAUUUAAGCAAUCAUAUAAGGUUUUCUAGAUUUCACAAUUAAGCCAAGUAUUAAAAUCAUCUCAAUUCUUCAUUAAAUAAGAUAUUCUGGUAUUUGGUCCUUUGGCAUUAUUUGCAAUUCAAGACGUGUGGUUUUAUAAAAAACCUACAAAGUUUCUUACUUUUUCUGUAUGAAUCCAUGUGUAAAUUUACACAUUAUAAUGAGAGCUUUAUUAUCUCUCAGUUUUUAAAAUCAUGUUGCCUGAAUGUUUUCCAUAAUUCUGAGGUGCUGGCAUCAGAUAUGGGUUUUUUUUGUCUACUCAGCAGGAAAUGGAUUCAUUUCUGUAUCAUAUUUACUGGAGCAACAGACAGCUGAAGAGUGAGAUUUGCUGUUGUGCAGUCUGAAACUGAGAAGUCAUGCAGAAAAUCAAGCUCUUAGCCACGAGGUUAACACUGAAGAACAAAUGACAAAGAAUCAGCAGAAAAAUACAUGAAUAUACAUAAAGCAGGAAAAAAUGCUGUUCAGCACCUUCUGGACUGCAGUAUUGAAGAGUGUGUCUGCAGGAAUGUAUCUAAAUUAUGCUUCCUCAUUCUCUUAGAGGUACCUGAGCAAUGCUGGGACUGUGCUAUAGGAUCACAUGAUGAACUCAACAAUCCCUGGUCACACAAGAAAAUCCAGAGACUUUAAUUAACAGAAAACAAAUGCCAUGAAAUUCCACAUUUUUCUAGUGCCUUCUGAAUUCCCCUCAAAAGAACGAGAAGAUGGCAGAAAAAUUAUAUAUUUUUACUAGACACAUGAGAAGACAAGUCUGGAGCUAAGAAGUCAGUCUAAGACGGAGGUGACAUACACUGUGGAUCUUGCAUGUCAUCCUGCCUAGACUUCGGAGGAGGCUCUGCACUGAUUCAUGCCUCACCAACCUUCAUUUGUGCCAUGUCUUGCAACACACAGUGUUGAUGGAGGCCUGUAUCUCAAGCUGUAGUGCACCUAAAAAAAUGGAGCAUGUGCCUGCAGAACCAAUGAAAUACAUCAAAUUGAGGUUUAAAGGAAUUUCCUUGAACAGAAGUUUUCCUUGGUGAAAAAUACUGCCAGACACACACAGAAAAACACACCUUGAAUGUUUUGCAUUAAACGAGUUUUAUUUUUACUUUCUG